rnacentral:rRNA from 1 species
GAUGAACGCUAGCUACAGGCUUAACACAUGCAAGUCGCGGGGCAGCAUGGGGGUUGCUUGCACUCCCCGAUGGCGACCGGCGCACGGGUGAGUAACGCGUAUCCAACCUGCCCUUCACCACGGGAUAACCCGGCGAAAGUCGGACUAAUACCGUAUGUUGUCCAUUGACGGCAUCCGAUUUGGACGAAAGGUUUGGCGGUGAAGGAUGGGGAUGCGUCCGAUUAGCUGGACGGCGGGGUGACGGCCCACCGUGGCGACGAUCGGUAGGGGCUCUGAGAGGAAGGUCCCCCACACUGGAACUGAGACACGGUCCAGACUCCUACGGGAGGCAGCAGUGAGGAAUAUUGGUCAAUGGGCGUAAGCCUGAACCAGCCAAGUAGCGUGCAGGAGGACGGCCCUAUGGGUUGUAAACUGCUUUUAUGCGGGGAUAAAGUGGCCCACGUGUGGGUUUUUGCAGGUACCGCAUGAAUAAGGACCGGCUAAUUCCGUG